rnacentral:snRNA from 1 species
GUUCACACAUAUGACAAUUGGAAUGAUACAGAGACGAUUAGCAUGGCCCCGUGCAAGGAUGACACACAAAUUCAUGAUCUAGAGACAGAGGUU